GUACCGUUGGUGACUCGGUUCUGUUGGCGACUUGAUUCUGAUGGUGACUUUGUGUUCAGACAGUGUUCAGUUAACCUUAAGUGGGAUUUAUGUUCCGAUUUUGACUGAAGCUUCGACCUAGUAUCAGAGUUUGCACAACCAGCCAGUCCAGUCUGCACCAUGUGCAUCAUAGCAUAUUUAUUUUUCAAAAGAAACGCAUUAAAAAAAAAUCAAAAAAAAAUCAUCAAAAAAAAAAAGAGAAAAAGAAAAAACUAAUCUCUGCAUGCAUAUCAUUUCUCAGGUACAUUCCAGAGUCUGUCUACUGAUAGAGAUGACAACGGUCCCC
rnacentral:lncRNA from 1 species